AGACAGGGGCAGCACCCCCUGUUUGCUGCCUUUCCAGGGAGGGCAGCACGAGAAAGAAAGAGGGAGGCAAGCGAAAUUCCUGAAUGGAUAGACAGAUGCUACGUCAUCGGAGCCGCAUCCUCCACUCCACAAGAGGCUAGGAGCCGGAGAAAGAGGCAGGCCAGCGGCAGGGGCCACCGAGCCAGCGCGCCUCCUCCCAGAAGCCGGAGCAGAGCAUCGGAGAAGAAGCAGCCUCAUUUGCUUCUGGUGUCAUCGUAGGUGUCCACCUUUGGCUUUGGGGGAACCUUCCUGACCCAGGGAUUGAACUUGCCUCUCCUGCUUCUCCUGUAUCGGCAGGCAGAUUCUUUACCACUGAGCCACCUGGGAAGCCCUACUAGCUGCGUGGCCUUAGGAAAUUUCAUGAUCUUGCUUAUUCCUGUCUUGGAAAAUCCUUUCCAAUGUCUAACCAAGAUCUGUACUGCUGAAGUACCAGUUCUUUGACCUAUGGCUUGACAUGGCUGAUUUGAGAGGUACAGCUUCCCACCACCCAGGAAGGAAGGAACUGGCCUGGAUUUUGGCAACCUCUUGCUUGUAACAUGUUCCAAACACAAGCAGAGGGACUGAAAGGAGAAGAGGACCAAAUGGGCAAGGGGGCUUCUCUGCAUAUUCUCAGGGGAGGAAGGCCACGCCUUCUCAGGUGCAGGGGUGAAGUCUGAGGAAUGCUAAAACAGACCUUGCAGGUUGAAGAUGUGGCUGGGGAAGAAGCCACAGGAGCUGUAGAAGUCAACAAAAUCUUUUCAGACCAAAAAGAAGAACCUACUUCAUCCAGUUGGCUUCAGUGCCCUGUGAGAAGCCUUCCUGAUUGACGGAAAGAUGAGACUAAAUUCUAGCAAGUUGAGUGGCUCCUUCAAGAAGCCUGUGUGCAGGGUAGAAGUGGAGAGGCCAUAGCCUCCAGCCUGGGCAGCCCAUUGGCACCUGGAGCCACCUCAACUUUGCCUCCCCUUUGCUCCUGUGUCUAUAAGCUGCCCAGCCCAGCCCGUCCUGGUUUCUCCUGUGUCUUCUGAGCUGAGAUUUCUCUGAGAUGGAAGCCCCAUCCCAUGUCUAAUAAAGACUCUUGAAUACUGAA
rnacentral:lncRNA from 1 species